UACGGGGGGGGGCAAGCGUUGUUCGGAAUUACUGGGCGUAAAGGGCUUGUAGGUGGCCAACUAAGUCAAACGUGAAAUCCCUCGGCUUAACCGGGGAACUGCGUCUGAUACUGGAUGGCUCGAGUGUGGGAGAGGGAUGCGGAAUUCCAGGUGUAGCGGUGAAAUGCGUAGAUAUCUGGAGGAGCACCGGUGGCGAAGGCGGCAUCCUGGACCAACACUGACGCUGAGGAGCGAAAGCCAGGGGAGCAAACGGG
rnacentral:rRNA from 1 species